CACAUUCCUGUGCGGCUUUGCCGGUGCCUGCAGCCUCCUUCCCCAGGGAUCGCUGCCUGGGGGCGGGGGUGGGGGUGGGGUCUGGUGGGGGAAUACUGGGAACUGAGCCUGGAACCAACCCAGGCCGCUGACCACAGCAGGCUCUGCAGGGCUGAGCUUGCAGGACUGAACAGUGACUCAUGGGGCCCUUCUCUGUGGCUCUGCUGGCAGCAAAAUCCACUCAUAGCAGCCUUUUCCACUGAGAUCAUAAAAUGGGGAUCAGAUCAUAAAAUCUCUCCCUCCCCUGCCCCGUCCCUAGCCUUCCCUCAGCCUCCCAUUCCUUGCCAACACAAAUCAAUCAAAAAUACGAUGGGGGCUGUGGGCCUAGUGAUAAGAGACCCAAAGUCAUUGCCCUUACUCUACCCCAAACUUUGCACACGCUCUUCAGUACUGCCUCAGACAGCAAGUGUGAUAAUACCCCAGACCUUCCAGAUUGCUCUCACUUUUGGCCUAAAUAAACUCCAAACUCCAUACUGGCCUGGAAAACUCAUCUGAUCACAAAUUUUGUUGCAAACUGUCCUCUACCUGGAAA
rnacentral:lncRNA from 1 species